rnacentral:rRNA from 1 species
UACGGAGGGGGCUAGCGUUGUUCGGAAUUACUGGGCGUAAAGCGCACGUAGGCGGCUUUGCAAGACAGAUGUGAAAUCCCCGGGCUCAACCUGGGAACUGCAUUUGUGACUGCAAGGCUAGAGUACGGCAGAGGGGGAUGGAAUUCCGCGUGUAGCAGUGAAAUGCGUAGAUAUGCGGAGGAACACCGAUGGCGAAGGCAAUCCCCUGGGCCUGUACUGACGCUCAUGCACGAAAGCGUGGGGAGCAAACAGG